UCCCUGGGGGCUCAGAUGGUAAAGAAUCUGCCUGCAAAGCAGGAGACCUGGGUUCGAUCCCUGGGUUGGGAA
rnacentral:tRNA from 1 species